rnacentral:misc_RNA from 1 species
GAUGAAGAACGUAGCGAGAUGCGAUAAGUAGUGUGAAUUGCAGAAUUCAGUGAAUCAUCGAAUCUUUGAACGCACAUUGCGCCCCUUGGUAUUCCAUGGGGCAUGCCUGUUCGAGCGUCAUUUGUACCUUCAAGCUCUGCUUGGUGUUGGGUGUUUGUCUCGCCUCUGCGUGUAGACUCGCCUCAAAACAAUUGGCAGCCGGCGUAUUGAUUUCGGAGCGCAGUACAUCUCGCGCUUUGCACUCAUAACGACGACGUCCAAAAGUACAUUUUUACACUCUUGACCUCGGAUCAGGUAGGGAUACCCGCUGAACUUAAGCAUAUCAAUAAGCGGAGGA